AGAAAUAGAAUUUUCUGAAAUGGUACUACGAUAAAGAAAAAGUUAUUUUAAAUGUCACAUAAUCCCCCCAAAAUAGAUUAAAAACCAAAUACAUAAAUCAGUUCCAAGUCAGACAGAAGUUCACAAGAAUCUCCAACGUGUAGUAAUGUGCCCUUAUUCCAAAUUACAAACUAUUCUGAAGUCUAAAAAAGCACUGGACUGAGCACUGGAAAAUCAUAUUCUCCAUUUGCUAAGUGACUUUGGGUAAGUGUGUUGCCAUCUUCUUUCUGAUCUCUCAAUUACAUGAGGAAGAGUAUCUGUCCUCUACAUACAAUCUCUCACAGAAAUUCUGGAUUUCUUUUUAUAUAAUCUUAACUCCACUGGACAUCAAUUCACUACUAAUAGAACCACCCAUAGGAAAUGGAGUAAUAAGAAGAUGCCUAAGAAAACAAAACACAUUUUACUGCAUAAAAUACUAUUAAGGGUUAAAAAUGUAGCAAGGAUACCCCAUUUCCUGGGACAUCCCAUCCAUCCCACUGUAUACAGAUUCUAAGUGUCUGUAAAAAUAGUAACUAGAAAAUAAGUUUGAGUUUUCCAGAAGAAACAAAAAGUACUAGGUAUCCUCUUAUUUAUUAAACAUUUAUAAAAUAUUCCAGCUAGACAAAUACUAUGGUCACACCACAGUGUGAAGAGGGGGAAGUUCCUAUGCAAAUACAUAAACUGAGGGACAGGACACAGUACAAGCGAGAAUGGGGGCUGAGGUGUGUCCCAUGAAAUUACAUGACCUCUCCGAUUUCCUAAAUCCCCUCCUCAAUGCAGGACCUAGCAGUAUGAAAGGACUAUAGCAAGCCACUCCUGGAUGCAAAGACUUGGCAAACACAUUAUUUCCUUAAAAAUGAGGUCUAGGAAUGAUAAGGAAAUAAACUCUCACAUGGCAAAAAAAGAAAACCAUGUUGCAUCUAUACCCACUCAGCAAUAGCUGCAGGAGAAAUUUCUUCUAAAUUUUCCAUACUCCAUUCUUCUAAAAAUUCCAGAAUUGGAGAAGGUUGAGAUCCAACUGAAAUAUAAGCCAUCAGAGCUAAAUUCUUCACAAGUCCAACAGCAUGGCCCUUGGAAUAAACAAAUCUAAAAGACUCGGGACAAUUCAGAACAACUAAGAAUAUCAACUACUACUGAGACAAGGAUCAUCAAUGGAAAAGAUUGAUAAGGAAAUGCAUAUUUAUCUAGACUCAGUGAAACUUUCCACAAAAGUACUAACUUUACAGUGGAGGAACCUAAAAGAUGACACUGCAGAGUUAAUAUUCCAAUAAUGGGACAAAAUAACAACAUGUGACUCCUGAUGCGAUUCCCUGGGAAGCACACAAUAUGAUCUCUGUAUAUGUCCUGCCAAAAAAUGCAUAAAUUCAAUCUAAUCAUGAGGAAACAUCAGAAAAACUCAAAUUGAACGAUAUUCUGUAAAAUAAAUGGCCUAUCUUUUCUAAAACUUUCAGUGUUCAGUGUUUCAGUGAGGAAA